GUUCCCUAUGAUGUUACUUUAACCAUGCUAAUGCUGAUGUUCCUUAUUAAUAUCAUAUAUACUGAGGGAACU